GAGCAAUCGCGUAGUGAUUUGAGGUGUGUAGGUCAUGUGACUAAAAAGCUAUUGAAACUUGGUGUCCGAAUAUCUGUUGAAUAUCGAACGUCAAACUAACUUUACCACGGUCACGGACCGAACACUCCAGACCGGAACGCCUCUGCGGGGAUCGAAGCGGAAGACGGUUGCUAUGAGGGUUGGGUACAGUCCACCACAACGCUGAGCAGACUAUUCUAACUAUGAAAAACAAGGAACAAGACAGAGCUGUUCUUACCUGUGAUGCAGUUAACGUUAAACAGGGAAACGGGUCUUGUUGAGUUCAGUUUUUCUUUCGAGAGUUGUUUCCGCUGUAGCCCCGCCCCCUCCACCUGCAUGAAGCUGGCUCUCCACCCCACGCAAAACACAGUGGAAAUGGUCUCGAUCGUUUGCGCUGCAUUAGUGCUGGUUUGUGCUGAAAAAAAUUCGUUUGAGCUGCUUUGGUUUUUAAGAUAUGACAAGUUCCUUAUGGGCCAAUCAUUGCAUUAAACUGUUACGGAAUUAGUUGAACGCAGGUGCCCCCUCCACGUGUGGAUAGAAGCGCGCUCUCGCUGAAAACUCGUUCCUGACAUGCUGUGCUGUACUACAGAGAAUGACGUGUCUUUCCAGGACCUGUGAGAAAUGAUGGCGAGCAGCAGAGGAGACGGUUUCCAUUUAAAUGGAGGAAAGUGUUUGCCAGAGGAAAGAGGCUUUACCAAAACAAAUGAGGCAUGGAUUUUACGAGG